rnacentral:misc_RNA from 1 species
GAUGAAGAACGUAGCGAAAUGCGAUAAGUAAUGUGAAUUGCAGAAUUCAGUGAAUCAUCGAGUCUUUGAACGCACAUUGCGCCCCCUGGUAUUCCGGGGGGCAUGCCUGUCCGAGCGUCAUUGCUGCCCUCAAGCACGGCUUGUGUGUUGGGCUCCGCCCCCUUCCCGGGGGGCGGGCCCGAAAGGCAGCGGCGGCACCGCGUCCGGUCCUCGAGCGUAUGGGGCUUUGUCACCCGCUCUGUAGGCCCGGCCGGCGCCCGCCGGCGACCCCAAUCAAUCUUUCCAGGUUGACCUCGGAUCAGGUAGGGAUACCCGCUGAACUUAAGCAUAUCAAUAAGCGGAGGA